GACGAACGCUGGCGGCGUGCUUAACACAUGCAAGUCGAGCGGUAAGGCCCUUUCGGGGGUACACGAGCGGCGAACGGGUGAGUAACACGUGGGUGACCUGCCCUCAGCUCUGGGAUAAGCCCGGGAAACUGGGUCUAAUACUGGAUAUGACUCCAUGACGCAUGUUGUGGGGUGGAAAGCCUUGUGCGGCUGAGGAUGGGCCCGCGGCCUAUCAGCUUGUUGGUGGGGUGAUGGCCUACCAAGGCGACGACGGGUAGCCGGCCUGAGAGGGCGACCGGCCACACUGGGACUGAGACACGGCCCAGACUCCUACGGGAGGCAGCAGUGGGGAAUCUUGCGCAAUGGGCGAAAGCCUGACGCAGCGACGCCGCGUGAGGGAUGACGGCCU
rnacentral:rRNA from 1 species